rnacentral:rRNA from 1 species
UGAGUAAUGUCUGGGAAACUGCCUGAUGGAGGGGGAUAACUACUGGAAACGGUAGCUAAUACCGCAUAACGUCGCAAGACCAAAGAGGGGGACCUUCGGGCCUCUUGCCAUCGGAUGUGCCCAGAUGGGAUUAGCUWGUAGGUGGGGUAACGGCUCACCUAGGCGACGAUCCCUAGCUGGUCUGAGAGGAUGACCAGCCACACUGGAACUGAGACACGGUCCAGACUCCUACGGGAGGCAGCAGUGGGGAAUAUUGCACAAUGGGCGCAAGCCUGAUGCAGCCAUGCCGCGUGUAUGAAGAAGGCCUUCGGGGUUGUAAAGUACUUUCAGCGGGGAGGAAGGGAGUAAAGUUAAUACCUUUGCUCAUUGACGUUACCCGCAGAAGAAGCACCGGCUAACUCCGUGCCAGCAGCCGCGGUAAUACGGAGGGUGCAAGCGUUWAWUCGGAAUUACUGGGCGUAAAGCGCACGCAGGCGGUUUUGUUUAGUCAGAUGUGAAAUCCCCGGGCU